AUGAAUAUUUUCUUGGUUUCGUGCCUUUUAGCCUGGUUACCAAAUGUCUUUACUGCAAGGGUUGAACAAACACCGAGAACGGCAACAAAGGAGACAGGCGAAUCACUGACCAUCAAUUGCGUCCUAAAAGAUACCAGCUGUGCAUUGUAUAGCACGUACUGGUAUUUCACAAAAAAGGGCACAUCAACGAAGAAGAGCUUAUCAACUAGUGGACGAUACUCGGAAACAGUGAACUCGGGAUCAAAGUCCUUUUCUUUGCGAAUUCGUGACCUAAGAGUUGAAGACAGUGGUACAUAUCAGUGUAAUGCGUAUAAUUAUCACAGCAUACAGCCUUCUCCACCAGUCAUCAGUCUACAUUACUCUGCAACUGAAGAACAGAGGGCAAACGGAUUUCUUCAGCUGAUUUGUCUCAUCACCGGGUACUAUCCUGAAAGAAUUGCAUUGACCUGGCAGAAGAACGGAAAUACCAUAAGUUCUGGCGUUACAACUACGUCUCCAACGAAAACAGCGACCAAUGAUUUUAGCUCUACAAGUUUGCUGAAAGUGCCACUGCAGGAAUGGAACAGCGGCUUUGUGUAUAGUUGUCAAGUUUCUCAUUCUGCUUCCAAUAGUAACCAGAGAAAAGAAAUUAGUUCAACAUCGGAGAUAGCUGUAUUAUUGAGGGAUCCAUUGGUUGAAGAAAUCUGGAUCAAUAAAAGUGCCAUUCUGGUUUGUGAAGUGCUUUCUACAGUUUCCAGUGGGGUAGUUAUCUCUUGGAUGGUGGAUGGAAAGGUGCGGAAUGAAGGCGUUCAAAUUGAAGCAGCGAACAGAAACCAAUAUGUGACAAUCAGCCGCUUGACUAGCACCGUGGACGAGUGGCAGAGUGGGGUGGAAUACACAUGUUCUGCAAAACAGGAUCAAUCAUCACCCGCAGUAUCAAAACGAACAAGAAUGGCAAGAGUUAAAUCAAUGAAGCCAUAUAUCCGCCUCCUGCCUCCAUCACCAGAAGAAAUUCAGAACAGCAGCUCUGCUACUCUCACAUGUUUGCUGAGAGGAUUCUAUCCUGACAAAAUAAGCGUUUUCUGGGAGAAAGAUGGAGCUUCUGUCAACGAGAACAUCACCAAUUUCCCCACUGCUCUGGAACAGGACCUGACCUACAGCGCACGGAGCCUCCUCAUUUUACCUGCAGCGGAAUGGAAGAGUGGCGCAAAAUACACCUGUACUGCCUCGCAUCCACCUUCACAGUCCACUGUGAAAAGGGUCAUCAGAAGCCCGAAAGGUGAUUGCCGUCAGACAGAUAUUGCUGUCCAUCUACUGAAACCUCCGUUCGAAGAGAUUUGGACACAAAAGACAGCGACCAUUGUGUGUGAAAUCAUUUACAGCAACUUAGAAAACAUCAACGUUUUCUGGCAGGUGAAUGGGGCUGAAAGAACAAAAGGAGUCAAGACAGAAAAUCCUGUUUGGAACGGAAGUAAAUUCACCAUUUUGAGCAAACUUAAAGUCAUUGCGUCAGAGUGGGACAGCGGUGCCGAAUAUGUUUGCUUGGUAGAAGACAGUGAAUUACCAACACCAGAGAAAGCUUCUCUCAAGAAGAAAAUUGACGACCAAAUGCGUCCGCCUCAGGUUUAUCUCCUGCAGCCAUCGACAGACGAGAUUGACGCUGAGAAUUCAGCGACCCUUAUGUGUCUCGUCACCAGCUUUUACCCAGCUGAGAUCUACAUUGGCUGGAUGGCUAAUGACACCCUUUUGGAUAGCGGGUACCGAACCCAAUUGGAUAGCCAGGCGGGGAAUGGUUCCAACUUCGUGACCAGCAGGUUGAGAGUCACAGCGGCGGAAUGGAACAAUGACAUCACUUACUCCUGCUUAGUGGGGCACCCAUCCCUCAGCCGGGAGUUAAUCAGGAGUACAAAUAAAUCUCAUGGUAUCCCUGAAAUAAAAGAGGACCCGGUAGACUAUGACAUCGAAGAAAACGAACAAGAAAAUUUCAAUGGAGAUGCCAACAGUUCAUUAUCCAUUAUGACGUUUGUCGUCCUGUUUAUUCUUAGUACGCUGUACAGCACAUUUGUAACUGUGCUUAAGGUGAACUGACCGUCACUGCUG